GCAGAGUAGGAUCGUGCGCGUAAAGUGCCGGGUGAACAGGGAGUUGUCAUCCGGACGAAAAGAGGGAAGUGCUUCCCGGCUUGCGGUGCAUGGUCCGCAUCCCGCUGC
rnacentral:ncRNA from 1 species